UACGUAGGGUGCGAGCGUUGUCCGGAAUUAUUGGGCGUAAAGAGCUCGUAGGCGGUUUGUCGCGUCUGCCGUGAAAGUCCGGGGCUCAACUCCGGAUCUGCGGUGGGUACGGGCAGACUAGAGUGAUGUAGGGGAGACUGGAAUUCCUGGUGUAGCGGUGAAAUGCGCAGAUAUCAGGAGGAACACCGGUGGCGAAGGCGGGUCUCUGGGCAACAACUGACGCUGAGGAGCGAAAGCGUGGGGAGCGAACAGG
rnacentral:rRNA from 1 species